rnacentral:rRNA from 1 species
AUGCUUAUAACGACUCCAGAUUCUCUGUGCGCGCGCGUUUUGAAAGGAAAAUACUUCCCCACAAGGGAGUUUGUGGAUGCGACAAUUCCUAAACAUGCGUCAGCCACCUGGAGGGCAAUAGUUGCAGGGAGGCAGGCCCUGGAAACUGGCUUGGUAAAAAGAAUUGGCGAUGGCUCGUCUGUGUCCACUUGGCAUGAUAGCUGGAUACCAGGUCUCCUCUCGCUGCGUCCGUCAGCACAAAUCGGUAAUGCUAACAUUCCUUAUGUGGCAGAUCUAAUUGAUGCUGAGACGGGUUCAUGGAAGAUUGAAUUGGUAAGACAAAAUUUUACAGCCCCAGAAGCUGACGCUAUUCUUAACAUUCCUUUGAGUGUUGGAGGAGGGGCUGAUUCAUGGGCAUGGGCUGCCGAAAAGUCCGGGAACUACACUGUAAAAUCCGCGUGCCGCUCUCUGGUGACCCAGAACGAGCAUUCAGCUCUAGGGGAAGGGACGGUUACAGAAUCUUCAGAGAAUCAGAAACAGUGUUGGUCCAGACUCUGGAAGCUCAAGGUUGUGCCAAAAGUUCGUGUGUUUUGGUGGCGAGUGCUCCAGAAAAUCCUUCCUGUCGAGAGCACUCUGAAGCACAGGCACAUUACUCAAUUGGCACGUUGCAAAGUCUGCCUUGAUGCAGACGAAGAUUUGUAUCAUGCACUGAUAAAGUGCACACAUGCAAAAAUGUUUUGGAGGGAGGCGAAGGAGUGGCUCAGUAUUAAGCUACCGGAGCUCCACCCAUCCACUUGGUCUAAGGACAUUUUAUGUGACUCCAGAUUCGAGGAAGCUGACCGCGCAAAGAUUAUUACGGUAAUGUGGGCGAUCUGGACGUCUAGGAACAAUGUGACUCAUGACAAACAAAGCUUGAAUCCAGUGGUGUCGAUGCAGAAAACCAGAGAAGCUCUGGAUAGAAUUGCCCAUGGACCAAGCUAA